rfam:Brassica napus, WGS project CCCW01000000 data, contig: 5975
AUACCUUUCUCGGCCUUUUGGCUAAGAUCAAGUGUAGUAUCUGUUCUUAUCAGUUUAAUAUCUGAUAUGUGGUUCAUCGGGCCACACGAUAUUAACUCUAUUUUUUUAGGGCGAAAACCUACUUGCUAUUUGAGUUUUUGUUAGUCGCCCAUGCGUUGCACUAUUGCACGGAAUUGGCUCAACCCAC